rnacentral:RNase_P_RNA from 1 species
GAGGAAAGUCCGGAAUCUAGAUAGAUAAUAAUUGCUGAAUAAAUUUUAGUGUGAGUGAUUGCGAGGAAAGUGCCACAGAAAGAUACCACCCGUAUGUUAUCUGGGCAAGGUUGCAAAGGUGUGGUAAGAGCACACCAGAGGCAUUGUUAAGAUGUCUGCUAGGUAAACCCCAAUAAAAGAGCAAGGCUGCGAUUAUGUAUUUCUAUUAUUAUUUUGCAAUUAAUUACCGCAUUAAGUGAUUAACGUAAAUUACCCUAUCACUACAGAUGAAUAACUACCCUUUUAAUGAUUUAGCAUAGUUAUAAAAGAACAAAAUCCGGCUUAU